CCCUUAGACGUUCUGGGCCGCACGCGCGCUACACUGACGAAGUCAGCGAGCAUCUCCUACGCCGAAAGGUGCGGGGAAUCUUGUGAAACUUUGUCGUGCUGGGGAUUGAUUUUUGAAAUUCUUGAUCAUCAACGAGGAAUUCCUAGUAAGCGCAAGUCAGCAGCUUGCGUUGAUUACGUCCCUGCCCUUUGUACACACCGCCCGUCGCUACUACCGAUUGAAUGGUUUAGUGAGAUUUUUGGACUGGAACUCUCUUGUUCAGCAAUGAACGAGAGGGACUCUGGGAAGCUAUUCUAACUGUAUCAUUUAGAGGAAGUAAAAGUCGUAACA
rnacentral:rRNA from 1 species